rnacentral:rRNA from 1 species
AUUGAACGCUGGCGGCAGGCCUAACACAUGCAAGUCGUGCGGAGCGGCGGACGGGUGAGUAAUGCCUAGCAAUCUGCCUGGUAGUGGUGGAUAACGUCCGGAAACGGGCGCUAAUACCGCAUACUAUCAGCUGAGCCUAGGGCGGAUUAGCUAGUUGGUGGGGUAAAGGCCUACCAAGGCGACGAUCCGUAACUGGUCUGACAGGAUGAUCAGUCACACUGGACCUGAGACGCGGGCCGGAGUGCUACGGGAGGCAGCGGUGGGGGAUAUUGCGCAAUGGGCGGAAGCCGGAUGCAGCGACGCCGGGUGGGGGAGGACGGCCUUCGAGUUGUAAACUCCUUUCACCAUCAACGCGGUAGAUAGAGAAGAAGCAACGGCUAACUACGUGCCAGCAGCCGCGGUAAUAC